rnacentral:rRNA from 1 species
AUUGAACGCUGGCGGCAGGCCUAACACAUGCAAGUCGAACGAGUGGCGGACGGGUGAGUAACGUCUGGGACACUGCCUGAUGUAGGGGGAUAACUACUGGAAACGGUAGCUAAUACCGCAUACCAUCGGAUGUGCCCAGAUGGGCUUAGCUAGUUGGUGGGGUAACGGCUCACCAAGACGACGAUCCCUAGCUGGUCUGAGAGGAUGACCAGCCACACUGGAACUGAGACACGGUCCAGACUCCUACGGGAGGCAGCAGUGGGGAAUAUUGCACAAUGGGCGCAAGCCUGAUGCAGCCAUGCCGCGUGUAUGAAGAAGGCCUUCGGGUUGUAAAGUACUUUCAGCGGUGAGGCGUUACCCGCAGAAGAAGCACCGGCUAACUCCGUGCCAGCAGCCGCGGUAAUUC